rnacentral:rRNA from 1 species
CUUGCUUCUCUUGAGAGCGGCGGACGGGUGAGUAAUGCCUAGGAAUCUGCCUGGUAGUGGGGGAUAACGUCCGGAAACGGACGCUAAUACCGCAUACGUCCUACGGGAGAAAGCAGGGGACCUUCGGGCCUUGCGCUAUCAGAUGAGCCUAGGUCGGAUUAGCUAGUUGGUGGGGUAAUGGCUCACCAAGGCGACGAUCCGUAACUGGUCUGAGAGGAUGAUCAGUCACACUGGAACUGAGACACGGUCCAGACUCCUACGGGAGGCAGCAGUGGGGAAUAUUGGACAAUGGGCGAAAGCCUGAUCCAGCCAUGCCGCGUGUGUGAAGAAGGUCUUCGGAUUGUAAAGCACUUUAAGUUGGGAGGAAGGGCAGUAAAUUAAUACUUUGCUGUUUUGACGUUACCGACAGAAUAAGCACCGGCUAACUCUGUGCCAGCAGCCGCGGUAAUACAGAGGGUGCAAGCGUUAAUCGGAAUUACUGGGCGUAAAGCGCGCGUAGGUGGUUCGUUAAGUUGGAUGUGAAAUCCCCGGGCUCAACCUGGGAACUGCAUUCAAAACUGACGAGCUAGAGUAUGGUAGAGGGUGGUGGAAUUUCCUGUGUAGCGGUGAAAUGCGUAGAUAUAGGAAGGAACACCAGUGGCGAAAGCGACCACCUGGACUGAUACUGACACUGAGUGCGAAAGCGUGGGGAGCAAACAGGAUUAGAUACCCUGG